rnacentral:tRNA from 1 species
CGCGGGGUGGAGCAGCGGUAGCUCGUCGGGCUCAUAAUCCGAAGGUCACAGGUUCAAAUCCUGUCCCCGCAACCA